rnacentral:rRNA from 1 species
AAUAAGCGGAGGAAAAGAAACCAACCGGGAUUGCCUCAGUAACGGCGAGUGAAGCGGCAACAGCUCAAAUUUGAAAGCCCGCGGGCGUUGUAAUUUGCAGGCGGAUGUUUUGGGGCGGGCGCUGUCUACGUUCCUUGGAACAGGACGCCGCAGAGGGUGAGAGCCCCGUGCGAUGGCGCCUCUAACCGCGUAAAACUCCGCCGACGAGUCGAGUUGUUUGGGAAUGCAGCUCCAAGUGGGUGGUAAAUUCCAUCUAAAGCUAAAUACUGGCGAGAGACCGAUAGCGAACAAGUACAGUGAUGGAAAGAUGAAAAGCACUUUGAAAAGAGAGUGAAACAGCACGUGAAAUUGUUGAAAGGGAAGGGUAUGCGAUUAGCGGCCAGCAGGAGGUGCCUUCUCGUGAAAAGGCCGUGCACCGUCUUCGGACACCGUGCGCGGAGAUGGCGAGGGGGCGCCUGAGGUCUGCGAACUCGA